rnacentral:precursor_RNA from 10 species
AAAUCAUGUCAGAAAAUACAGGUUGCCUUCGCACCUUGGUCACCAUUAUUUGCUCCUUUUAUAUUGAGCAGUACUGGAGACAGGUGGAAUGGCAGCACUGAUAUAUCAUUGUGACAUCA